AAGUCGUAACAAAGUUUCCGUAGGUGAACCUGUGGAAGGAUCAUUAACACGUAUCCAAACGUAAAAAACCCCCCCCCGUGAACAUUCAAUCCUGCUCUUGUAACCCGCGUAGUUCGCAAUCUCUGGUAAAUCAUAGCCCGGAAAGUAGUUUUGAUUCAGAGACCUCUGGCUACGUGAGAACAUUGGAACAGUUAGAAUCGAGCGGUAGUUUCAUAGGCAUUGUUUCUCCAAGCAGUCAGUGUCUGACAGUGUCACUGAUUGUGCAAGGAUAGCGCUUCAACGAUUCCUGUAGACCGUACACUCGGGCAGGAGCUAUGCCAAAGGGUCCCCAUGCCCCCGUAUAAUCCCACAGUUUAAUGUGAAGCUCAAUGUAAUACAUUGGGUAAAACAACCGAACAACUGUUAACAAUGGAUAUCUUGGUUCUC
rnacentral:misc_RNA from 1 species